UUGUAUGGAAACAAUGGAAUGUAAAAGAAAGUGUUUUAGAAAAACGAAUAAAUAUCAGAACUAAAAUAGGAAAGAUAUCAAUUGAAUUUAAAAGAAGCACUCAUAUCUUUGCAGCAAUUGUAAAUAUGUUCACGCCAAUAUUUCUCGUAGCUGUUACAGCAUUCGCUUUAUUAUUAAUUGGUGACCCAAACUACAUUCGAGACCCCUUCUUCUUCUUAACUCCUCCCCCUUUUUGGACCCCCUGACGCGUUACUAAUUUUGAAACGUCCCUUUUUUACUGGAAAAGUUGUGUUGUAAAACAAAUAUAAAAUUAUCCAUCACAA